UUCGUGUUAACCACGGCAGUCUCCUUAGAGAGCCCAACUUAAUGCUGGCAACUAAGGACAAGGGUUGCGCUCGUUGCGGGACUUAGCCCAACAUGUCACCACACGAGCUGACGACAGCCAUGCAGCACCUGUCUUCCUGUCGUAUUGCUACGAAAGCCGUAUCUCUACGGCUUUCCGGUAUAUGUCAAACCCAGGUAAGGUUCUUCGCGUUGCAUCGAAUUAAUCCACAUGCUCCGCCGCUUGUGCGGGCCCCCGUCAAUUCCUUUGAGUUUUAGCCUUGCGGCCGUACUCCCCAGGCGGGGCACUUAAUGCGUUAGCUUCGGCACGGAGGGAGUCGACACCCCCCACACCUAGUGCCCAUCGUUUACGGCGUGGACUAC
rnacentral:misc_RNA from 1 species